GGUUGCUUAGUCAAGUGGUCUACGACGCUGCGUUUAGGCCGCAGUCCCGCAAGGGGCGUGGGUUCGAACCCCACAGCAAUCA